GACGAACGCUGGCGGCGUGCUUAACACAUGCAAGUCGAACGGAAAGGCCCUGCUUUUGUGGGGUGCUCGAGUGGCGAACGGGUGAGUAACACGUGAGUAACCUGCCCUUGACUUUGGGAUAACUUCAGGAAACUGGGGCUAAUACCGGAUAGGAGCUCCUGCUGCAUGGUGGGGGUUGGAAAGUUUCGGCGGUUGGGGAUGGACUCGCGGCUUAUCAGCUUGUUGGUGGGGUAGUGGCUUACCAAGGCUUUGACGGGUAGCCGACCGGAGAGGGUGACCGGCCACAUUGGGACGGAGAUACGGCCCAGACUCCUACGGGAGGCAGCAGUGGGGAAUAUUGCACAAUGGGAGGAAGCCUGAUGCAGCAACGCCGCGUGCGGGAUGACGGCCUUCGGGUUGGAAACCGCUUUCGCCUGUGACGAAGCGUGAGUGACGGUAAUGGGUAAAGAAGCACCGGCUAACUACGUG
rnacentral:rRNA from 1 species